GUGGGGAAUCUUAGACAAUGGGCGCAAGCCUGAUCUAGCCAUGCCGCGUGAGCGAUGAAGGCCUUAGGAUUGUAAAAUUCUUUCACCGGGGACGAUAAUGACGGUACCCGGAGAAGAAGCUCCGGCUAACUUCGUGCCAGCAGCCGCGGUAAUACGAAGGGGGCUAGCGUUGCUCGGAAUUACUGGGCGUAAAGGGCGCGUAGGCGGACAGCUUAGUCAGAGGUGAAAGCCCAGGGCUCAACCUUGGAAUUGCCUUUGAUACUGGCUGUCUUGAGUUUGGGAGAGGUGAGUGGAACUCCGAGUGUAGAGGUGAAAUUCGUAGAUAUUCGGAAGAACACCAGUGGCGAAGGCGACUCACUGGCCCAAUACUGACGCUGAGGCGCGAAAGCGUGGGGAGCAAACAGGAUUAGAUACCCUAGUAGUCC
rnacentral:rRNA from 1 species